UCUGUUGUCAUCUAAACAUGAAGUGCCUUGCUUUCAUUUUUGCCGUGAUCAUGUUGGUGUGUUUGGUGACGUCGACGACGGCGUGUGGUUGCAGCAGUAGUAGCCACAGCAGUCACCAUCACUCUCACGGCAUCAUGAUGCCCAUCCCGUACAUGAUGCACGGCGGCGGCGGCGGUCACAGCCACUCCAACUACCUCCCCAUCAUCCUCACAACGACUGGUUAAAUCCACCGUGAACAAACUCCAUGACGACCCACAGUUCGGUUUGGCUGUCACCACGUGCUGGUCACGUGUUUCAACGAGUCUAUGAAAAAGCUGUCGGGCUGCAAGAAACGUUGAAAUAUUCAACAUAAUGUUAUUAUUUCUAUUUAUUCCAUAAAUAAAACUGUUGGUAAA
rnacentral:lncRNA from 1 species